rnacentral:lncRNA from 1 species
GGGACUUCGGUUCCGCACGUCGUCAUGUUGUUGGAUGGCACCAGUAUGUGACGUUCCUAGGAACUUAGCUCUGAGGAAAAAACAAAGCAAACCGGGGAAGUACGUAGCCUUGAACCGGAGUAACCAGGGACAGAAAGGAAGGAAAAGGGUUUCAUACCUUCACGGAACGACGCUCACUUCGUCCGCCUGAGGAGGAAAAAUAAGUUUAAACCUUUCUGUGAAAAAGAACGUGGAGCCCUUUCUGCCGAAUGGAAACCCGCUAAACCCCGUUAUGGAGUCUGCUACAAUUAAGCAUCUAACCAGGAAUUGUCUAUGGACACAACUCUCCAGGCAAUUCAUGCAGAAAGUGUGUUGACGAUUUCCUGUUUCUUGCAGAGCGCUUCACCGUUAAGGCUCUUAGUAGCUGGCGAUUGUAAAGCACAUUUUCCGCUUCAUGAAAAUACAGUGCUCUUCUUGUGUUUGUAA